GUCGGGAUAGCUCAGCUGGUAAGCAAAGGACUGAAAAUCCUCUUUUCACCAGUUCAAAU
rnacentral:tRNA from 1 species